GGAAUAUUGGACAAUGGGCGCAAGCCUGAUCCAGCCAUGCCGCGUGCAGGAUGACGGUCCUAUGGAUUGUAAACUGCUUUUAUACGAGAAGAAACAACUCUACGUGUAGAGUCUUGACGGUAUCGUAAGAAUAAGGAUCGGCUAACUCCGUGCCAGCAGCCGCGGUAAUACGGAGGAUCCAAGCGUUAUCCGGAAUCAUUGGGUUUAAAGGGUCCGUAGGCGGUUUAAUAAGUCAGUGGUGAAAGCCCAUCGCUCAACGGUGGAACGGCCAUUGAUACUGUUAGACUUGAAUUAUUAGGAAGUAACUAGAAUAUGUAGUGUAGCGGUGAAAUGCUUAGAGAUUACAUGGAAUACCAAUUGCGAAGGCAGGUUACUACUAAUUGAUUGACGCUGAUGGACGAAAGCGUGGGUAGCGAACAGGAUUAGAUACCCCAG
rnacentral:rRNA from 1 species